UGUCAGGAUUAGUCAAGAAGACAGUAAGAUCUCAAGUCACCACCAGCACUAAAUGAUAGAGUCAACAAUCCCAACUCCCUUUUCAGGCCCCUUAUCUAGAAAAGGGACUAUGCCCACAGUCCCACUGGGAAUUGCUUUCAGAAGAGCUGAUGAAAGCUGUGAAGGCACUGUUGCCCAACAGUGAGGGGAGUGGAAACGACUUGGCAGAACCUCAGGGAAGGCCCAUCAGGGCAUGAGAUCAGUGACCAGAGACGAGGACCACACUCCAGGGGUAGAGGCAGAACCACAUGUCAUGCCCUGCAGACUCCAGAGCUGCAUCUCCAAGACAGAAGGAGGCCUCCAGCAGACAAGAUGGGGAUGCGGGCCUUCUAAAACUCAGGUACCCUGAAAACCACUUUUUUUUCCCCUAAUGAGGCAGAAACAAAAACUUAAGGAAGUUGUAAGCCACAGUGGCCAACAGAAAAGUUAGAAUGUGUCCUGCAGAACAAGCUUCUCUGCUCUCCCAAACCAGACAAACAGCUGAAGCUUGGGGACGGGAAGGGGAAGGAGCUGUGAGGUAGUGUAAAGGAUUUUCUAUAGCCAGCAGAUGACUGUGUGCAAGCUGUUGCCCUUCCAAAGGCUCAUGGGAGCCUGGGAACCUCACUUUGCAAUUCUCGUCUUUCGUCCCUCCCCUGCCUUUAAAUGGCUUGUCUCCAUGGUUCUUUGUGGUGUUUUUGUGCUGUGAUUGAGACUCUAUGACCUGUUCCAUCUCACAAGGCCAGUAAACAGAAGCGCCCUGAACCGGAAUUUGGUGAAAUGGCUGCACCCUGCUCAAGGAAGUCUGGGAAAUGUAGUCUCUAGCUGUAUGGAUGAAAUUCCAGGUGAUUUUGUUCUAAAAGGAAGAACAGAUGUUGAGAGACAGCACUCUGACACCAAGGGCUUAUAGAUCUACCAGCUUUACUUUGAAUAGUAUGUGCCCUGGUAGCACAUCUGAACAGUUAAAAUAUUAAUGCACUCUAUUUACUUAUUCGUAUAUCUCUCACAAAUGCAAUUAAUAAUUUGUUUAUUCCUAGGUACAACGUGUAGAGGAAUAUUAUUUUGAAAUUUUACUUGAAGCAUCCUCAUUCUUGCUAAUUCAUUUUAAUCUAGUCCUUCCUCUGCUAAAAUUAGACCAUGGGACUGGGUCUUAUCUCCUCAGGAGCGGACUGACAUGUGGAGAUAGAAAUGAGCCAGUGCUCAGCUUUGGGUUUUGAAACAGACUUUUGAAGCUCAUGGCAGAGCCAGUAACUUUGAGAGAUAAGACUUUUUAAAUUCUAGACUGUUUGAAUACCACUAGCCCAAAGUUUAUACCCUAAACAAUCGUUUCUGAAGGAGUGCGUGAUGAUGAAAGAACUUGUUUUCCCACCCAAAGGAAAUAAGAUCUGUAGGAGGUAAGAGUCAGAGAGCUGGAGAGAGAGCAAUAGAGAAAAGUGCCGGGUGGGCUCUGAGCAUGCGUCUUCAUCCCUUCUCCCACCCCCAGGCAGAUCCCUAGUCUGGGAGGACCCCAGAGAGGGUUAUCAGACAGGGUGGGGGAGCCAGAUCACAGAGUUCGCAUCCCAGUUUUGCCUUCGACUGCCUUCUGACUUGGGCAACUUCUCUCUGUGUCUGCAUUUUCUUUUCUGUAAGACAGAGUUAAUAAUACCUACUUUGUGCUGUUAUUGUUAGAUUUCAAUGAAUAAGAACAUAUAAAAUACUUAGAACAGAGCCUGGUACAUAAUAAGCACCGAAUAAACCUCUUGUAAUUGUUAAUGUCUGAGAGGAGAGGAACCUGUAGAGAGUUUCAUUUUGUCUCUCAUUUUAAACAUCUACAAUUUUGGCAUUUCUUGCACAUUUUUUCAGUUACGUAUGAUUCAGACAUUUUACACUUGAGAGUUUAAAAUGUUUUAUUAAGUAAAUACUACUCAAAGUGUCCAAAACCUUUAAUUACAUAAAUUGGUAUUGAAGAUGCAGAACUUCUUACAAACACCGAGCGCACUGCAUGAGAUUCAAAAUCUGUAAAUUGUGUUUGAUGAUACACCUUGUAGAAAUUCUAGACUUAAUUUCAAAAAGAUUAAGUAAAUUAACAUUCAAAGAUGCAUCUGAUUCUUAUAAGCAUACCUGUCACUUGCCAUUAACAACAUGUCCAAGUUGAGGGUGUGGCGUCCAUCCAUCCAUGGAUGCCUGUAGUCCAUUCGCUUGAGAGAUUAUGAAGAAAGUAUACCUCAAUAAAACUUGGUGGAGGGACUGGCCCCGUGGCCGAGUGAUUAAGUUCGC